UACGAAGGGGGCUAGCGUUGCUCGGAAUCACUGGGCGUAAAGGGUGCGUAGGCGGGUCUUUUAAGUCAGGGGUGAAAUCCUGGAGCUCAACUCCAGAACUGCCUUUGAUACUGAAGAUCUUGAGUUCGGGAGAGGUGAGUGGAACUGCGAGUGUAGAGGUGAAAUUCGUAGAUAUUCGCAAGAACACCAGUGGCGAAGGCGGCUCACUGGCCCGAUACUGACGCUGAGGCACGAAAAGCGUGGGGAGCAAACAG
rnacentral:rRNA from 1 species